GAGCCUGGGUUUGGUUGAAGGUGGCAGUGCUGUUCUGUUUGGGCUGAGAUCACUGUCUAGCCUCCUGGAGGUGUCAUUGUUGUGAGGGCUCGUCUUGGGGAGGUAGACUGUACAGCCUAACCCGGCGGGGGAGUGUGAUAGCCUAACAAGGCUUCCCUCCCUGGGUCUACCUCCUCUGUGGUAAUAUAGGUAAGGUAAAGGAGGUUGUUCGGUUAGUGUGGGGAGCAGUGAGACCUGGCAUUGGGGAGUGUCUCUGGGACGCCAGAGAUCACUGUCUAGCCUCCUGGAGGUGUCGUGGGACCAACUAGACGAAACACCGGUGAAAGGAGGUUCCCACCCGAUGACCCCAAAGACAUGUUAGUUAUCACUGCUCAUUGGUCUGUAUAGUUAAGCCUUGCCAUAAUAGUUUGUCGUAGGGCUUAGGAGGUUAUUCACUGAGUGCUGAUCCCUUUUUAUUUAUUUAUUUAUUUACUUAUUUAUUUAUUUAUUUUUUUUAGAGCACAAACUUCUUGUGUUUAUUUGAAUUCAGAACUAGCCCAGCUAGUGACUGCUGUGAACAGGGCAGCUGACAACAAGGGAAAGACCAUGUGACCGCUUGGAAAGACAGCUGACAGGAGGAAAAGACCCCAAUGGUGCUGGCAUGGGUUAGCAACCCAUGGUAGCAGUGGUGAGGCCUAGCAGCCUUACUACAACCAAAAAUUAGCUACAGCCAACUUAGGAAAAAUACCCCAAGAGUCAGCGAGAGCAGGGGUGGAAGAUGACUCACAGGUGGAUUACACGGUAACAGACAUUGGAACGGACACGACUAUGACUUGGAUCUGUGACUCAGUGAAGGAUAGGGGCACGGACCUAUCCACCAGUGCUAGAAUUAGCAGCAGUCAGGGCAA